rnacentral:rRNA from 1 species
CCUACGGGUGGCAGCAGUGGGGAAUAUUGGACAAUGGGGGCAACCCUGAUCCAGCCAUGCCGCGUGUGUGAAGAAGGCCCUCGGGUUGUAAAGCACUUUCAGUGAGGAAGAACGCCUGGUGGUUAAUACCCAUCAGGAAAGACAUCACUCACAGAAGAAGCACCGGCUAACUCCGUGCCAGCAGCCGCGGUAAUACGGAGGAUGCGAGCGUUAAUCGGAAUUACUGGGCGUAAAGCGCGCGUAGGUGGCUUGAUAAGCCGGUUGUGAAAGCCCCGGGCUCAACCUGGGAACGGCAUCCGGAACUGUCAAGCUAGAGUGCAGGAGAGGAAGGUAGAAUUCCCGGUGUAGCGGUGAAAUGCGUAGAGAUCGGGAGGAAUACCAGUGGCGAAGGCGGCCUUCUGGACUGACACUGACACUGAGGUGCGAAAGCGUGGGUAGCAAACAGGAUUAGAUACCCCUGUAGUC